rnacentral:rRNA from 1 species
CUCUUGAUAAUUAUAAGAGGUCCAGCCUGCCCAGUGACCAUGUUCAACGGCCGCGGUAUCCUAACCGUGCGAAGGUAGCGUAAUCACUUGUUCUUUAAAUGUGGACUAGUAUGAACGGCACUACGAAGGUUACGCUGUCUCCUUUUUCUAAUCAGUGAAACUAAUCUCCCCGUGAAGAAGCGGAGAUAAGACUAUAAGACGAGAAGACCCUAUGGAGCUUUAAACAACAUAGCACUUGCCUUACACAUAAAAAUUUCCGAAACUUUAAUAUCUUGACAACCUGACUAUAAGUUUUUGGUUGGGGUGACCACGGAGCAUAAAAUAACCUCCACGAUGAAUAGAAUUAUUUCUAAACUAAGGCCUUCAAACCUAAGCAUCAACAUAUUGACAUCUAUUGAUCCAAUAUAUUUGAACAACGAACCAAGUUACCCUAGGGAUAACAGCGCAAUCCACUUCAAGAGCUCCUAUCGACAAGUGGGUUUACGACCUCGAUGUUGGAUCAGGGUAUCCCAGUGGUGCAGCCGCUACUAAAGGUUCGUUUGUUCAACGAUUAAAAC